ACAGCGGGAAGCCAGGCGGCGACGCCGAGCGGAACCCGAAAACCUGUCUCAGUUCGGAUCGGAGUCUGCAACCCGACUCCGUGAAGCUGGAUUCGCUAGUAAUCGCGCAUCAGCCAUGGCGCGGUGAAUACGUUCCCGGGCCUUGUACACACCGCCCGUCAAGCCAUGGAAGCCGGGGGUGCCUGAAGUGUGCAGCCGCAAGGAGCGCCCUAAGGUAAAACCGGUGACUGGGGCUAAGUCGUAACAAGGUAGC
rnacentral:rRNA from 1 species